rnacentral:tRNA from 1 species
ACCCGGUUAGCCCAGCCGGUAGAGCGUUGGACUUUUUAUCCAACGGUCAAGGGUUCAAGUCCCUUAUCGGGCU